CACCCACGAUCCUUAUUUCCCAAGAUCCUUUUUUCAUUCUCUUAUAUAUGUCAGAUUCCUAGAUUAAAAUAUUAGAUAAACCACAAAUAGAUCAAAAACAAAAUAUGAGUUACUAUUCUUCUUCUUUGGUUAAAAAUCCUAAUUCAUAAUUUCAUAUCAAAUAUCCCAAACCAGUGCUGAGAUCAAUUUCUGAGUAAGGGUCCCCUUUCAUUGGCUUCGGCGGAGCUGGACAUUUGAAACCGGUUUAGGGAUAUGGAAGUCUGAAAAGAGUGGACAUGGUGGAGAAUUGCUUGAGAUUCGACUCGGAGAAAGAAUUUUUUAGAACGAGAAGAAAGAGAAAGGAAGAAGAGAAAGAUAGAAGUCAACGAGAAAUACCAACGUGGUAGAAACAGAAGAAUUAUCAAAAGGACUCUCUUCUUUCGGUUGUGGGUUGGAGGAUAUUGGGAUUCAGAUGGAUCUUACAAUGGUGGUCGAACUAAAUGUUGUCGAGUGGAUUUCAGACAACCGACACUUGAGAUGCUGAAAGAUGUUGUUUUGACGAAUGGGUAUGCAGAGAAUAUGAAUAAGUUUUCUUACUUCCCUAAUGGAGCUGUUGGGGGAAAUCGUGUGGCCUUGGUAGCUAAUAGUGAUGUAGAAGACAUGAUUAGAUGUAUUCAAGAUGUGGAUAGCUUGAAUGUAUAUGUCGUCAGGGAAGAUGAUCCAUGUUUAGAUGAUGUGCUUGUGGGAAAUGUAGAAGAAGAAGAGGAACAAGAGAAUGAGGAUGAGGCGUGUGAUUUCUAUUGAAAUGAUUAUGUUGAGAGUGAUGGGUCUGAUGAUGAAGAUGGCAAGAUAGAAUUUUUUUGGGACAGCAGUUUGUAUCGAAAGAAAAGUGCAAGGAGACCAUUGAGAAGUAUGCUAUCAAAGAGAAGGUGAACAUACAUUUCAAGAGAUCUGAAAAGAAGAAGAUAGAUGCAAAAUGUGUGCAAGAGUGUUGCAAGUGGAGACUGUAUGCUUCCAUUAACAGCCAAUCAGACAAGAUGGUUAUUCGGUCACUGGUAGGAACCCACAACUGCUACCCUAUAGGUGUUGUUGAUCUCUAUAGCGCACCAAAGAUAGCUGCAGAUUUUCUGAAUGAGUUUAGGCUCAACCCAAAGCUUUCAGCGGAGCAUAUAAUGCAAAGGUUGGCUAUAAAGGGUCUUCGGGUCACAAAAACGAAGUGUCAAAGUGCUAGGCAGAUUCUAAAACAUAUCAUAGGUGAUGAGUAUGCAGAGCAGUUUACAAGACUCUAUGAUUAUGUUGAGGAGCUAAGGAAGACCAAUCCUGGUUCUACGGUUAUAUUAGGAACAAAAGAUAGAGUUUUUGAAAAGUUCUACACAUGCUUCGAAUCUCAGAAAACAGGUUGGAAGAGUGCAUGUCGUCGUGUUAUUCAUUUAGAUGAAACUUUCUUAAAAGGACGCAUGAAAGGGAUAUUGCUAACUGCGGUGGGAAGAGAUCCUAAUGAUGCUACAUAUAUCAUUGCUUGGCCUAUUGUACCGGUUGAGAACAAGGUCUAUUGGGAGUGGUUUAUGGAGUUAUUGCGUGAAGAUUUAGGAUUAGAGGAUGGAAAUGCUUUGGCAUUGUCAUCAGAUCAGCAGAGGGGUCUUAUAUACACCAUCAAAACCGUCUUGCCUUAUGCAGAACAUAGAAUGUCUGCAAGACACAUUUUUGCUAACUUGCAAAAGAUAUACAAACAAAUGGGUCCUCUGCACAAGCUGUUUUGGAAGUGUGCCCAAGCAUACAAUACAAACCUUUUUCAUAGACAACUUGAGAAGAUGAAGAACAUCAAGCUUGAAGCUUAUGAGGAAGUUAAGACAAGUGUUGGUUCAAACUGGUCAAGGGCAUUUUUCAGUGAUGUGGUCAAGUCUGCUGCUGUUGAAAUAACAUAAGUGAGUCCUACAAUGCUGCUAUGAAAGAUGCUCGUGAGAAACCGAUUGUUGCUCUGCUAGAGGACAUUAGGCGACAUAUAAUGUCUAGUAACUUGGUGAAGCUGAAGGAGAUAGAGAAUGUGAGAGGAAUUUUCACACCCAAGGCUUUAACAAUAAUGGAAAAGAGGAAGCGUAGUUUGAAGUGGUGUAGUCCAUUGUCAAAUGGAAGGGGCAUCUAUGAAGUGGAUCAUGGGAAGCACAAGUACAUUGUUCAUGUCCGAGAUAAGACGUCGUGCACUUGUCGUGAGUAUGAUGUGAGUGGCAUACCUUGUUGCCAUAUCAUAUGUGCAAUGUGGGCUGAGUAUAAGGAAACAAAGCUCCCAGAAACAGUUAUUUCGGAGUGGUAUUCAGUGGAGAAGUGGAAGCUUUGCUACAGCUCGCUUUUGUUUCCUGUGAAUGGGAUGGAGUUGUGGGAAACACAUAGUGAUGUUGUUGUUAUGCCUCCUCCGGAUAGGAUAAUGCCAGGUUGACCCAAAAACAAUGAUCGAAUCAGAGAUCCAAGCGAAGAUAGGUCAUCACAGAAUUCUUAAAAAGCUCCAGUGUCGACUUGUAGCAACUGCCUCCAAACCGGUCAUAAUAAACGGUCCUGCAAACAAGAUCCUCUUCAUGUGGCUCCUAAACCGGUUCCUGAAAAUCCAUCUUACCAUGCUAAUGCUGUGAUGAGUUUCGUUUUAACGGGAGACGUUCACUAUUGACGACAAAGAUUACAGAGGGGUGAAAACAUUAACGGACAUAAAGUUGGAGGUUUAUUUCGAGUCUUUACUACCUGAUCAGCUAGAUGAAGCUGCAAACUACAUCAAAAAGCUACCGGUAAACGUGGAGAAAAAGAAUGAAAGGAAGAGGAAACUUGUUGCGACUUCAGCUUUCGACAAACUGAAUUCCAUUGGAUCUUCAUCGAUGUCUUGGAGUGUGGACGUCUCUGUACCAAGAAGGCUGCCAAAAUUGGAGAUUCAAGAAACCGGUCCGGUUCUUCACAUCUUUCUUGUGACAAGCAUGGAACACAAGUUUAUGUUCCAUGAGAUCACUCGUGUUAUCACUGAGGAAGCAGGAGCUGAGAUCACUCAUGCUGGAUACUCUAUUGUUGAUGAUGCCGUCUUCCACACUCUUCAUUGCAAGAUGGAAGAUCGUGAUUAUGGAGCUGGGAGUAGAAUUUCUGAGAGCCUGAAGAAACUUGUGAACACUGUCAACUAAUAUUCUCUUUAAUGUGUACCCUUUGGUCCUUCUCCUUGCAGCUUUUUCUAUAUUUUUUUCUUCUUAUUUUCUUGUUCCUUUUGUUGAAUUUUAUCUUGUCAUGUGAAAACGAUGUUUCAUUGUGAUAUUUAUCUUGUUAUAUAUCUACUAUAA